AGGGUUGUAGCUCAGUGAUAGAGCAUCUCUUUUUAAUGCAGACAGUUCCAGUUUCAAUCCCUGACAUCUCCU